rnacentral:rRNA from 1 species
AUACGGAGGAUCCGAGCGUUAUCCGGAUUUAUUGGGUUUCAAGGGUGCGCAGGCGGCCAUUUAAGUCAGCGGUUAAAUCGUGGGGCUCAACCCCAUUCUGCCGUUGAUACUGGGUGGCUUGAUUGCGGUCGAGGUUGGCGGAAUUCGUUGUGUAGCGGUGAAAUGCAUAGAUAUGACGAAGAACACCGAUUGCGUAGGCAGCUGACCAGAUCGCAAAUGACGCUCAUGCACGAAAGUGCGGGGAUCGAACAGGAUUAGAUACCCUGGUAGUCCGCACAGUAAACGAUGAAUACUUGUUUUCGGCGAUAUAAUGUCGGAGGCAAAGCGAAAGCGAUAAGUAUUCCACCUGGGGAGUACGCCGGCAACGGUGAAACUCAAAGGAAUUGACGGGG